AGGGAUGCAAAACCUAGAGCCCCAGGGUCCUUUAAAUAGCGCCAGAAGUGUCCCAAAUGGAAGCCCGGUCCAAAAGAAUCAAAUCAGAGCAGAAACAGGGCCCGAUCCAGGUCAAAUCACGCUCAAGCGUCGCUGGGAGCUCGCUCAAGCGUGAAUCAAGGGUCAUGUGGCGCUUGGGCGCCAGUUUUCCUCACCCAGGCUUCGACCAUUCGUCGCCCGGGUGCCAGGUCCGUCGCCCAGGCGAUCAACGGUGUUUUUCCUCUCGCAAAUUUUGCAUUCUUCUCCCCUGGUGCUCGCUUGGGUGUCGCAACUGGAAAAUCGCGACGGGACGACGAUCCAAAAAGAAAACGAUUUUUGAAAAAAGUUUUGGAGUCGCCACCAUAGUUUAUUCUGGAAAACUAUGGAAAAAACCAUAAAAAGGACAAGGCUUAGUCUGUGAAAACCAGAGAUGGGUUCGGAAGUCGGUUACGUGUAGGGAAGGUGUUAGCACCCUACAACGCCUGCCUAAAGGCAGUACCUUUAAUUAAAUGCGCGAAUAAAGAUAUGGUUUGCAAAAUGUUUAACUAUCCCAAGAACAACAAAAUAAAGAAACAAAAAUAUUUUUUUUGUUUUUGGGCCCGACAAGGAUUGACCUUGCUCCUACGUAUUCUCAGU
rnacentral:lncRNA from 1 species